CCUACGGGGUGCAGCAGUGGGGAAUAUUGGACAAUGGGCGAAAGCCUGAUCCAGCCAUGCCGCGUGUGUGAAGAAGGCCUUCGGGUUGUAAAGCACUUUCAGUGGGGAAGAAAGCCUUGGGGCUAAUACCCUCGAGGAAGGACAUCACCCACAGAAGAAGCACCGGCUAACUCCGUGCCAGCAGCCGCGGUAAUACGGAGGGUGCGAGCGUUAAUCGGAAUUACUGGGCGUAAAGCGCGCGUAGGCGGUCUGAUAAGCCGGUUGUGAAAGCCCCGGGCUCAACCUGGGAACGGCAUCCGGAACUGUCAGGCUAGAGUGCAGGGAGGAAGGUAGAAUUCCCGGUGUAGCGGUGAAAUGCGUAGAGAUCGGGAGGAAUACCAGUGGCGAAGGCGGCCUUCUGGACUGACACUGACGCUGAGGUGCGAAAGCGUGGGUAGCAAACAGGAUUAGAUACCCCAGUAGUC
rnacentral:rRNA from 1 species